rnacentral:lncRNA from 1 species
UGUUUGAGGAUUGAAUGUGAUGAUUGUAUUGAUUGGGGUUAUUGUAUAUGAGGUUGAUAUUUAUAUAUUUGGGAGAUGUAUUGAGUUAGGGAAAGGCUUAAGGCCUAUGUGUGCCGGUGUAACGUGGUGGAAUGACAUAUAUGUAUGUCUCGGGCGUUAUAUCGUUUCUUGUUGGGUUAUGUGGCAAUCAUUUGAGUUGGCAUGAUUCAUCGCCGAAGCGGGCAUGCGGCGUGCCUGUAAAUGAAGUAACGUAGAUGCGUGAUGUCGUGGAGACAACGUGGAACGUAUGAACAUGGUGGCGGAUCAAGCGAGAACCAAUGUCGGUAACUUGAUUGCGUGAAGGCGUGAGACAGCGUGAUGUCGUUGAGACAACGCAACAUGAAAGUUCUCGCGCGACAACAUGAAGAACGCGGGUACCGAUUUAGGUGGCGUGGUCUCAUUGUUGGCACCGCCGGGGUUUAUCCUCGUUUCUUGUUGAUUGCUUUCGAUUUACUGAAUGUUAAAGUUAGAUGCUUAUGCUAUGUUGUGUGAUGAUUGUUGGUGAUUGAUUUCGGGGCUCCUAGAGCUUCGCUCACUAAGCUUUUGUCGAAAUGCUCACCCCUCCUUCUUUCCUUUUCAUUUCAGGUUCGGCUCACAUUGGUGGGUUUUUUUGUCAAAGACGUCCUGGGAUCCUAAAGACACAUUGUUUCGGCCUUGUGGCUGGAGACAAGUGUCAUGAUAUCGCCGACCAUUUCAGCUAUGCUGGGUCGGGGUGCCACAAGUGGUAUCAGAGCCAAGGAAAGACUCCCUAGUCCUAACCUAGAGGGUUAGUCUCGACUCAAAGCAAUAUGAAUUGAACAAGUUCCUAAUCUCUUACUUAAUGGUUGAGUUUUCCCCUUGCUCCAUUUGGAAUUCGGGGCGAAUUCCUAGUUAAAUGGGGUAGAGUUGUCACAUCCCGGUUCUCCCAAACCGGAAUGAUUUUGUUUUUCUUGAUUACUUUUCUUGAUUAUUAACUUGAUUUAGACCAAAGCCCAUUAGCUUUUAUCCUUCUUUUCUGGCCCGUGUAGUAAACCCUAAGGUUUCCUCUUCUUUUCCUAUAAAAAGGAGUCUCCUCCUUCUCUUCUCUCCCAUUAGAAAUCAGAGCGAAGCCUUGCAGAGUUCCAGAGAGAUCUGAAAGCCUUAGCCGUCAAGGUUUCUCUUUUCUUCUCUCUCGUUCUCUCUCACUUGCGUCUCUCUCUCUCUCUCUCUCUCCUUGGUGUUCGCCAUUUGCUGAAGGCUGGAGCCAAGCCGUUGGAGAUCCCCGAUGAACCGAUCCAAUUCUAUGUCCAGAUCUCUCUUUGUCUUCUUUCUAGAUCUGGUCGCUGGUGAGGUAAGGAACCCUAGUUCUCGUUUCCUCCAUCUCUUUGUUCUCUUUUAUCUUGGAUCUCUCAUCCCGGAUUCUUUGGUGGUAGCACCAAUCCUUUUUGUUGUAGAUCUGGUUCGUGGAAAGCCAUAAGCUUCAGAUCUGGUUCUACUCUCUUUUCCAUUCUCAGAUCUAAGGCCAAGGUGAGGGCUUGUUGCAAUCUCUAUCUCCUUCUAUCAUUAUCUCAUCAUGGUAGAAGUGUCUAGGUUGAUCAUUCAUCCCUACUUGUUACUUUCUAUAGAUCUAUUAAUAUAAAUAAAUAUUCAUAUGAUAUAUAUAAAUAUCUUGAUGCUUGAUGUGUGAAAAACAUAGAUCUAUUGCUAAGGUUGUUAAAAUAUGGUUGAAUGAUGUUUGAGGAUUGAAUGUGAUGAUUGUAUUGAUUGGGGUUAUUGUAUAUGAGGUUGAUAUAUAUAUUUGGGAGAUGUAUUGAGUUAGGGAAAGGCUUAAGGCCUAUGUGUGCCGGUGUAACGUGGUGGAAUGACAUAUAUGUAUGUCUCGGGCGUUACAUCGUUUCUUGUUGGGUCAUGUGGCAAUCGUUUGAGUUGGCAUGAUUCAUCGCCGGAGCGGGCAUGCGGCGUGCCUGUAAAUGAAGUAACGUAGAAGCGUGAUGUCGUGGAGACAACGUGGAACGUAUGAACAUGGUGGCGGAUCAAGCGUGAACCGGUGUCGGUAACUUGAUUGCGUGAAGGCGUGAGACAGCGGGAUGUCGUGGAGACAACGCAACAUGAAAGUUCUCGCGCGACAACAUGAGGAACGCGGGUACCGAUUUAGGUGGCGUGGUCUCAUUGUUGGCACCGCCGGGGUUUAUCCUCGUUUCUUGUUGAUUGCUUUCGAUUUACUGAAUGUUAAAGUUAGAUGCUUAUGCUAUGUUGUGUGAUGAUUGUUGGUGAUUGAUUUCGGGGCUCCUGGAGCUUCCCUCACUGAGCUUUUGUCGAAAUGCUCACCCCUCCUUCUUCCCUUUUCAUUUCAGGUUCGGCUCAUAUUGGUGGGUUUUUGUCAAAGACGUCCUGGGAUCCUAAAGACACAUUGUUUCGGCCUUGUGGCUGGAGACAAGUGUCAUGAUAUCGCCGACCAUUUCAGCUAUGCUGGGUCGGGGUGUCACAAGUGGUAUCAGAGCCCAGGAAAGACUCUCUAGUCCUAACCUAGAGGGUCAGUCUCGACUCAAACCAAUAUGAAUUGAACAAGUUCCUAAUCUCUUACUUAAUGGUUGAGUUUUCCCCUUGCUCCGUUUGGAAUUCGGGGCGAAUUCCCAGUUAAGUGGGGUAGAGUUGUCACAUCCCGGUUCUCCCAAACCGGAAUGGUUUUGUUUUUCUUGAUUAUUAACUUGAUUUAGACCAAAGCCCAUUAGCUUUUAUCCUUCUUUUCUGGCCCGUGUAGUAAACCCUAAGGGUUCCUCUUCUUUUCCUAUAAAAAGGAGCCUCCUCCUUCUCUUCUCUCCCAUUAGAAAUCAGAGCGAAGCCUUGCAGAGUUCCAGAGAGAUCUGAAAACCCUAGCCGUCAAGGUUUCUCUUUUCUUCUCUCUCGUUCUCUCUCGCCUGCGUCUCUCUCGCCUGCGUCUGUCUCUCUCUCUCUCUCUCUCUCCUUGGUGUUCGCCGUUUGCUGAAGGCUGGAGCCAAGCCGUUGGAGAUCCCCGAUGAACCGAUCCAAUUCUAUGUCCAGAUCUCUCCUUGUCUUCUUUCUAGAUCUGGUCGCUGGUGAGGUAAGGAACCCUAGUUCUCGUUUCCUCCAUCUCUUUGUUCUCUUUUAUCUUGGAUCUCUCAUCCCGGAUUCUUUGGUGGUAGCACCAAUCCUUUUUGUUGUAGAUCUGGUUCGUGGAAAGCCAUAAGCUUCGGAUCUGGUUCUACUCUCUUUUCCAUUCUCAGAUCUAAGGCCAAGGUGAGGGCUUGUUGCAAUCUCUAUCUCCUUCUAUUAUUAUCUCAUCAUGGUAGAAGUGUCUAGGUUGAUCAUUCAUCCUUAUUUGUUACUUUCUAUAGAUCUACUAAUAUAAAUAACUAUACAUAUGAUAUAUAUAAAUAUCUUGAUGCUUGAUGUGUGAAAAACAUAGAUCUAUUGCUAAGGUUGUUAAAAUAUGGUUGAAUGAUGUUUGAGGAUUGAAUGUGAUGAUUGUAUUGAUUGGGGUUAUUAUUAUAAGAGGAUGAUAUCUUUAUAAUUGGGAGAUGUAAAUGAGUAAGAGAAAGGCUUUAAGGCCUAUGUGUGCCGGUGUAACGUGGUGGAAUGACAUAUAUGUAUGUCUCGGGCGUUACAUCGUUUCUUGUUGGGUUAUGUGGCAAUCAUUUGAGUUGGCAUGAUUCAUCGCCGAAGCGGGCAUGCGGCGUGCCUGUAAAUGAAGUAACGUAGAAGCGUGAUGUCGUGGAGACAACGUGGAACGUAUGAACAUGGUGGCGGAUCAAGCGAGAACCAAUGUCGGUAACUUGAUUGCGUGAAGGCGUGAGACAGCGUGAUGUCGUGGAGACAACGCAACAUGAAAGUUCUCGCGCGACAACAUGAGGAACGCGGGUACCGAUUUAGGUGGCGUGGUCUCAUUGUUGGCACCGCCGGGGUUUAUCCUCGUUUCUUGUUGAUUGCUUUCGAUUUACUGAAUGUUAAAGUUAGAUGCUUAUGCUAUGUUGUGUGAUGAUUGUUGGUGAUUGAUUUCGGGGCUCCUAGAGCUUCGCUCACUGAGCUUUUGUCGAAAUGCUCACCCCUCCUUCUUCCCUUUCAUUUCAGGUUCGGCUCAUAUUGGUGGGUUUUUUGUCAAAGACGUCAUGGGAUCCUAAAGACACAUUGUUUCGGCCUUGUGGCUGGAAACAAGUGUCAUGAUAUGGCCGACCAUUUCAGCUAUGUUGGGUCGGGGUGUCACAAGUGGUAUCAGAGCCCAGGAAAGACUCUCUAGUCCUAACCUAGAGGGUCAGUCUCGACUCAAACCAAUAUGAAUUGAACAAGUUCCUAAUCUCUUACUUAAUGGUUGAGUUUUCCCCUUGCUCCGUUCGGAAUUCGGGGCGAAUUCCCAGUUAAGUGGGGUAGAGUUGUCACAUCCCGGUUCUCCCAAACCGGAAUGGUUUUGUUUUUCUUGAUUAUUAACUUGAUUUAGACCAAAGCCCAUUAGCUUUUAUCCUUCUUUUCUGGUCCGUGUAGUAAACCCUAAGGUUUCCUCAUCUUUUCUUAUAAAAAAGAACCUCCUCAUUCUCUUCUCUCCCAUUAGAAAUCAGAGCGAAGCCUUGCAGAGUUCCAGAGAGAUCUGAAAAACCCUAGCCGUCAAGGUUUCUCUUUUCUUCUCUCUCGCCUGCGUCUCUCUCUCUCUCUCUCUCUCUCUCCUUGGGUUCGCCGUUUGCUGAAGGCUAGAGCCAAGCCGUUGUCAAAGAUGUCCUGGGAUCCUAAAGACACAUUGUUUCGGCCUUGUGGCUGGAGACAAGUGUCAUAAUAUCGCCGACCAUUUCAGCUAUGUUGGGUCGGGGUGCCACAAAUAUCUAUCAACCACACAUGUAAGAUGACUUGGACUUCAGGUUAGUAUAUAAUGUAAAUUACGAAAGCCAUGGAAAAGAAUCUCCAAAGACCAACCAAGGUUAUAAAAGUAAAAAUAAAAGACUUCCUACCAACCAAGAAGGAUUGGGCAAAAAGCUUGAGUCCAAAGAAUUAAAUUGAAUCUGAUCCGAAAGAUAAAUAAUAUCAGAUUCGGAUCAAAAUUAGUUAAAUAUUCGAAUGGAUUCAAAAUUCGAAUUCAAUCCAGAAUAGAUUUAUAUACCUUAAUAUAUUAAUUAUUUUUAGAUUCAAUCUAUAAAAAUAUCCAAAAUAUAUAAGAUAUUUUGAAAUUGUCCAAAAUACUUAAAAUAUAUACAAAUAGUCAAAAGUAAAUGUACAAAUUAGCUAAACAAUACUUAAAAUACCAAAAAUACUUGAAAUAUAUAUUGUUUUUCUAUCCAAAUAUUCAAGUCAAACCAAUUUAUAUGUUAAGUUUAUGUAUUUUGGUAUAAUUCAAAUUUAUAUGUAAUAUUUUAUUUUAAUUUUAUAUUUUGAGAAAUUUAAGGUAUAUAAUAAAUUUAAAAUUUUUAAAAAUGAUUUAAACGGGUUAUCUGAAUCCGAACCUAACGCGUAAAGAUCCAAACCAAACAUGAAACAAUAUUUAUAAAUACCUGGAUAAUGUUGAAAUCUUUAACCCUAAAAAUCAAAAAUCCGAACAGAUGUGAACCGUACCCGGAUGUAUUCCCAAAUGCCCACCCCUACGACAGGCAUAUCCAAUGUUUCGCAUUACUAGCUUCAUCCACGCAUUACCAAUGCAAAAUAACACAAAACACUGAUAGAAAGAAGUUAACAAAACUUCAUAAAAUGUUUAGAAACAACAAACGAUUCUUUGAUGCAGUAAUAAGAAUAUUUAUUAGAAACUUUACUAGAUUCAAGUGCAUUAUAAUUUCUACACGGACCAUUUAAAAUCCAUAUCAAAAUUUUCAUUGAGUUUCUAUAAAAAAUACAACAUUAUCCUACUAUCACAUUUCUUAUAUGAAUUUGUAAUUUAUAAAUGAUAAACUCAUGUGUAUCCCUGAAAAUACCCUAACGGGAUAUACCGACAAUGAAAAGUAUAUGCAUCUCCUUCACGUCAAAUUAUGCAUAAAGAGGAUUCAUGGGUCCAGUGGAAGUUGCAUUACGAAUGAUGUUCAUUAUUAUUAAAAAUGUAUGCUCUGAAACUUAGAUAAAAAUACAAAAAAAACUGUGAUUAGUAUUUAUAGGUUACAUUUGGCUCACGAGUUUUAGGUCUCAAAGUUUGGCAAAUAAUAAAUCAUUUAGUAAAAAAAGAAAUCAUGAGAAGUAUAAAACUAAAACUUCACGACAACAUUUUAGGCAUAUAUUAUUUUGUUUACGCUUACAAUUUUGUCAAACAUUCUAUAGUAUUUUGAUAGAAUAAUAAAAAUUCUAUAUUUAAUAUAGAAUUUUUUUAAAAGAACAUAAUUAAUAUGUACAGAAGAUGAAUUGAAGAUAAAGAAAUGCUUUCACCAAAUAAAAAUUUAAAAAUAAAUGAUAAUAAUUAAGUAAUAGAAUGUCAGAGAACAUAUUAUUAUUUUUUUCAAAAAAAUAAGAGAACAGAUUAAUAAAAAAUAAAAAUUAAAACACAUCAAAAAUAUAAACAAUCAUCAUAGUUAAAACUAAACAAAUAUAAUAUUCCCCCCCCCCCGAACGUGGAACGUAUGAACAUGGUGGCGGAUCAAGCGAGAACCAAUGUUGGUAACUUGAUUGCGUUAAGGCGUGAGACAGCGUGAUGUCGUGGAGACAACGCAACAUGAAAGUUCUCGCGCGACAACAUGAGGAACGCGGGUACCGAUUUAGGUGGCGUGGUCUCAUUGUUGGCACC